UACAGAGGGGGCAAGCGUUGUUCGGAAUUACUGGGCGUAAAGGGUGCGUAGGUGGUGAGGUAAGUCGGAUGUGAAAUCUCCGAGCUCAACUCGGAAAUGGCAUUGGAAACUACCUUGCUCGAGGGUUGGAGGGGGGACUGGAAUGCUUGGUGUAGCAGUGAAAUGCGUAGAUAUCAAGCGGAACACCAGUGGCGAAGGCGAGUCCCUGGACAACUCCUGACACUGAGGCACGAAAGCUAGGGGAGCAAACAGG
rnacentral:rRNA from 1 species